GUGCUCACAUCGGCAGCACAUAUACUCAAAUUGGAACGAUACAGAGAAGAUUAGCAUGGCCCCUGCGCCAGGACGACAUGCAAAUUUGUGAAGCAUUCCAUAUUUUU